rnacentral:rRNA from 1 species
CGUCCGGGCGCCACCGCCCCCCCCACCCUUGUCUACCGAACGUUUGUUGCCUCGGCGGGCCUGCCGCUCCGUCGGCUGCCGGGGGUCGCAUCACACUCGUGGUCGCGGCCCCGGGCGCGCGCCCGCCAGUGGCCCACACCGAACCUCUUGUGAAACGAACUGUCUGAAUCACAAUGUAAAUCAUUUAAAACUUUCAACAACGGAUCUCUUGGUUCCGGCAUCGAUGAAGAACGCAGCGAAAUGCGAUAAGUAAUGUGAAUUGCAGAAUUCCGUGAAUCAUCGAAUCUUUGAACGCACAUUGCGCCCCCUGGUAUUCCGGGGGGCAUGCCUGUCCGAGCGUCAUUGCAGACCCCUCACGCGCGGCGUGUGUGUUGGGCCGUCGUCCCCUUGACUGUGUGGACGGGCCCGAAAGGCAGUGGCGGCACCGAGACCUUCGGCUGUCCUGAGUGUAUGGGCAACCCCUAGACCGCUCCGUGACCCGAUCGGUGGCCGACCGUCAGAUCGUGAGAUCGAUUUUAUCUUUCCGGUUUGACCUCGGAUCAGGUAGGAAUACCCGCUGAACUUA